GUUCAAGGAGAGGUGUCACAUUCGGGCACCGCACCAGGACGCCAUCCCAGGCAAUGCCAGACUAUGAGUUCCAGCACCAAGUGCUGAAAAAUCUCAACAUCCUAAGGCUGGCGAUUCAACAACACGGGGAACUGCUCUCAGGCCUUGUACCUUCUCAGGGCUCAUUCCUAGAAAUUCCGAAGCUACUCGAGAAUCCCAUGAACACUGUAGAGGAGUUGGAGUCAUUCGACGCACAACUGACGCCAGAGCGGGAGAAA